rnacentral:lncRNA from 1 species
AGAUAGACCCUAUUGUGAGAGUGAGAGGAGAAGGCAUUGACGAAGGGGAGAAAGAAAGAGAAAGGAGAAACCUUUUUGGCCCGCAAGAUUUUCCUGUUGAAGCCGUUAGCUUUAGCCGCAAAUUGAACCUGCAAAUAAGCCCUAAAAUCCAAAAUCGCUAACUUUAAAUCAGCACCACCAUUUCGCGUCUCAAGAGCCACCAUGAAAAAUCAUCACCAAUCUUCGAACCUGUCAAGCAAUCCCACUACUAAAAUUUCAAAAUCCC